UCAUAGUGAACUUGAAAAGCAGCUUAAGGAGGCUAGGAAUAGACUCCUUAACCCUCCUUCCCCCAUUGAUGACCUCCUUACUCUUCUUGAUGAAGUUGAAAAUUUGUUAGCAUACGUGGAGCAAGUACCAUCCAAAUCAAUGCGAGAUGCGCUUUUUCCCUUAGUAAAGGCUCUGAUCAAUAAUAAACUUUUGAGACAUGCUGAAAUGGAUGUGAAGGUAUCAGUUGUAUCUUCCAUUAUUGAGAUUACAAGAAUAACAGCACCAGAUGCCCCAUAUAAGGAUGAGCAAAUGAAGGAAAUAUUUCAAUUGAUUGUGGCAGCAUGUGAAAAUAUGUCUCAUGUGUCUACUCGCUCUUAUAAGAAGGUGACUUCAAUUCUUGAUACCAUUGCAAAGGUCAAGUUAUGCUUGGUGAUGUUGGAUCUUGAGUGUGAUGCAUUGGUUGUUGAGAUGUUUCAAAGUUUCUUGAAGAUGAUUUGGUUCAACCAUCCACCUGCUGUACUUUCAGCCAUGGAAACAAUUAUGAGUCUGGUCAUAAAUGAAAGUGAAGACAUUUCCUUGGAUCUUCUUAGUUCACUUUUUGCUAUUGUAAGAAAGGCAAAUCAGAAUUUUUCACCUAUUUCAUGGACAUUGGGGGAGCAAAUAAUCACUAGGAUUAAUGCCCAGCUAGAAUAGAUAAUGACACCCACUCAAAAACUACCCAGCAAGCUUGAGGGUGCACAUGAUGUGAAAGUUGAAGUUGUUGAACGUGCUUCUGAUCAACCCUCCACAGUCCUUGAAGAUCUACAUCUUGGUGAAGUCGAAGAGGUUAAAACCACAAUGCUUCCUAUGGUUCAUAAGGUUCAAGACGAGAUUAUACUGAUUCCAUACAUUGAUUUUGUUAUUCCAAAUGAGUUUGAUAUGGUGGAAUUCAAGGUUUUUCUUUUCCCUGAGCUCCCUAAGGUGAUUCCAGACUUGAAGCAAGUGUUACUUGUCAGCAUCCUAAUCCUUCAAUGCUUUAAAACUCGAGGUUGAGUUUUCUCCAAUCGGAGGAGAAUGAUGCGGGAGACACAAGAAGAUUUUUAUUUAGUAUUAUUUAUAUUUGCAAGUCAUUUGUAUUUUUUAUGUUUUAGGUCCUAGUAGUUUAUUAGGUUAUUAAUAUUUUAAUUUGGAAGUAAGGUUAUUUUCGUAAUAAGGCAAUUAGGGUUUUCUAACCAAUUAGAACUAGGGUUUAGUAAUCCUUUAUAAGCAACUUAUUGUACUCCUUGAGGAGAUAGUUGAUAUUUUGAUGAAUGAAAACAAUGGCCGUUUGGUCAUUUUUUGGUCUGGUGCUGACUCAAGAUCCACCCUAGGUGCUGACUCCUAGUGGUUUCCUCACUUGGUGUUAACUCCAAGCAAGACCUAAGUGCUGACUCCUAGAUCAUAUCCCUUUAUUUUAUUGUUAUUUCAGUUUUGUUUUGAUUGUCCUGCGUCAUGUUUCCAUAUAGAAACUUUAAACUUUAAACUUUAAAGUCGAGCUCAUUAAAUUAGGCAUUUUAGAUUUUCUGAUAGUAUAGAAGUUCCUUACACUCAUAAGAGGUUUAGGAUUUCUUCAGGUUAAAGAGGGAACUUAUUAUUCUUUUGCUUGAUCGUAGAGUGAUACUUAUGAUGGAAUUUUUCUAUACAUGCUUUUUCCCAUUUUCUGAAUGCUUGGGUAGGUCUGUUUUUCAUUAUGGGUUCAAAUUUUGAAGAACUUGAGUCUUUAUACUUUGUACUCAACAUACAUGAAUAAUGACAAACUAAGGAAUCUUUUGUGCUUGGUUCGUAUACUUCUGCUUAGUUUUCAUAUGAGAUGGUUUUUCAAAAUAAUCAUUAUAUAUUAUAAUGCUUUGUACAUAGUCAGGAAAGAUUCCUUUAGCAUUUGUGAAACUAUAAUUGUUUUUAUCUUACUGACGGCAUUAAUAUUCCCCCCUAGAAGACAACGGAAAAUUCUAUUUAGGAGUUGCAUACAGCAAUUUUGAUUGGGCAUAGCUGAUGCAUGUGCUCCCACAUUAUGGGAGCUAUUAGAUAUUUUAUUGUCCAAGAUUGUGAUCACUCAAUGGAAGAAUGUGCCAAAGGUAACUCCCCAGGUUUCCAUUAUUGUCAUCUAAAACAGAUAGACUGUUAUGUCAUCCAUUUAGUAGCAUCUUGAAGUUCAUGUGAUAUCAGAAAAAGCUGGUGGUAAUUUCAUCCAAAACUGACUUUCUACUCUCUCUUCCCUAAUACUAGUAUUUUUUUCCUUUUUAGAGUAAAAUAUCAAAAUUUUAUUAAUAAAGUAUAUGAUAUUCCUUCCUUAAUAUAUUCACCUUUCUUCAAGUUUUUCAUAAAAUUUGGGCAUGAUGUUGUCUAUAGGAAAACUUGGUACUUGUAUUUCAACUGCGGUCCACUAAUGCAUGAACAAGCAGGGAAAUAAGGAAUAGGAAAUAUUCUGCUGAACUCAGUCAGGGCGGUGUAAGGACAGGAACAAUUUUCUUCCCCUACUUUUGACAAAUACCAGAACCUGCAAAUUAUGAGGUGAGUUUGUAAGUUUAAUGUCAUUUCAUAUUUUUUAAAUUGAUACUUAUGUAUAUCCCCAGUUAAAUUCAUUUAAUAUUGAUGAUGUUAAAGCCUUUCCAGAGUUGUGAGGCAGAUCUGUUUCACUACUAUCCAGCAAAGAUAGAUGUGCAAUCCCUCUCUAGAAAAAGCUACGUGGAAGAUUUGUCAGUGGUUGAGGAUUUAUUUUAACUUGUACACUUGUAAAACCUUAGAUUACAGCCAAAGCUGGAUAUUGUUGCUGUUCACUUUGAAAAGGAGGUAGAAAUAGUUGAGUGGCCCAGAGAUAAAAUUUGUCAACUGAAACCGUAAUUUGAAUGUAUCUGCAAUUGUUGAUUGGGUAUAUUAGGUAUCACCAUCGACAAAGCAUCAAGUAAGGCCAAGGCUUUCCUAGCAUUUACACUUCAUGCCAUGGCUGCUUCCAUUUCCCAUCUAUAUAAUGAGAAAUAGUUCUAUUCUUUCUUGAAUGUACAGAAUUAAUGACAAUUCAUUCACUUUUCAAAUCUUAUGUUGUGGCUUCCUACUUAAAGUCUCCAUAGCAGUGACUUCAACACUUUUCUAGAUUAUGAGGUAUGCAUUUGUGAUUAGCCUUACAUAUUGGUUAUCAUUGUAUGCAUCUUUAUUUGAAUGCUCAAACUUCAGAAAUAAAAACAGACAUAAAAUUU